AGAAUCUACCCACUCAUCCCUUUACUCACGGUAUCACAGCGGUGAUGCACUCACAGUGACAACGCCAUUUGUUACACACCACGGGGUCUUUUGUCCAGCUAGAAAUCUGAUUACAUGUGGUGUGAUCUUCGUGCACGUUUCUUCAACAGCUGCAUUUGUUCCGGACCUACCCACCCUGC